UAGCCUCUGUCCAGCGCAUACUG
rnacentral:miRNA from 1 species